rnacentral:rRNA from 1 species
CAGCCGUAAACUAUGCGCGUUAGGUGUAUCGGUGACCACGAGUUACCGAGGUGCCGAAGGGAAACCGUGAAACGUGCCGCCUGGGAAGUACGGUCGCAAGGCUGAAACUUAAAGGAAUUGGCGGGGGGAGGCACCACAACGGGUGGAGCCUGCGGUUUAAUUGGACUCAACGCCGGGAAGCUCACCGGAUAAGACAGCGGAAUGAUUGCCGGGCUGAAGACUCUGCAUGACUAGCUGAGAGGAGGUGCAUGGCGUAGACGU